ensembl:lncRNA
GGGCUGGAGGGCCCCCGGGGAGAAGGCUGUGACUGAUUGCAUCUUAUUACACUCUCUACCCAGAGGGCCACUGCCAGGCUGACUGUUGGUGGAGACUGGACUGAUUGUCUCGUGCGGAAGGUCUCGCGGUAACAGCUGCACUAACAGGUCUCAAGUUAUUGGCUGCUGCUCGCCCCGCCCCUAUUCCAGUUCAAAAAAAAGAGCCCAAGACUCAAGUGGAAGCCGCCGACCCCUUUGCCCUGAUGUUGCUUUGGAGUGUGCUGUUGGUCAUGCAGACCAGGCCUGGUGCAAGCAGGGGAGACUCUGCCUGGUGAGCCCUGGCGGAGCAGGCACCCCUGAGGGUCCCCUGGAGUCUGGCUACCGCAAUCGCUUUUUCAUCCCUGCUCCAGGACUCUUUAGAUGCGUAAUUUGGAACACUUUACUCUUGUAAAGCCCCCGUUUCUUUAUCUAGGAAAUGGAAAGGAAUUAUUGUAUUUACCUCAAGGGGGCUAAAGUUGGACUGUAUCUUGUACUUACCUCAAGGGUCCUCAGAAGGAAAUCUGAAAUGGAGUCUGGAGGUGAACAUUCCAAGGUCAGUAAGGAUUCCAAGCUGCAGAGACUCCAGGUCCUGUCUUGGUGCUCUGCCAUCCUGCCAUCCUCUGCCAUGGCCCAUGUCUGCAUGAAUAUUUGAACACAUGGGUGGAUGGAUAUUCCAGCCAGCAGGACUGAGUCCUUCACUCUGCCCAGGAAAACGCUGAGAUGAAUUCUGCCAUGAGCAAGCAAGGCAUUUCAUCUGACUGACUCAGGUUCAUAAUCAACAAAGAAGAAUAUGCGCAUCUAUGCUAAGAAAGUGCUGACGAGCGGAACUGCUUCUGUAUCUUUGACCUGUGAAGUGUGUUUUUCUGAUUGAUCUUGGAACUUAUAUUUUUUGCUUACCAAAGAGAGGGAUUUUUUAAAAACACAUUUGCAAUGUUUAACAAUUGAACAAAGAACGUCAGUAAACUCCCUUGCCUAACUA